rnacentral:rRNA from 1 species
UUAGAGUUUGAUCCUGGCUCAGAACGAACGCUGGCGGCAGGCUUAACACAUGCAAGUCGAACGCACCGCAAGGUGAGUGGCAGACGGGUGAGUAACACGUGGGAACGUACCCUUUGGUUCGGAAUAACUCAGGGAAACUUGAGCUAAUACCGGAUACGCCCUUAUGGGGAAAGGUUUACUGCCGAAGGAUCGGCCCGCGUCCGAUUAGCUAGUUGGUGAGGUAAUGGCUCACCAAGGCUUCGAUCGGUAGCUGGUCUGAGAGGAUGACCAGCCACAUUGGGACUGAGACACGGCCCAAACUCCUACGGGAGGCAGCAGUGGGGAAUAUUGGACAAUGGGCGCAAGCCUGAUCCAGCCAUGCCGCGUGAGUGAUGAAGGCCUUAGGGUUGUAAAGCUCUUUUACCUGGGAAGAUCAUGACGGUACCAGGAGAAUAAGCCCCGGCUAACUUCGUGCCAGCAGCCGCGGUAAUACGAAGGGGGCUAGCGUUGUUCGGAUUUACUGGGCGUAAAGGGCGCGUAGGCGGGCGAAUAAGUCAGGGGUGAAAUCCCAAGGCUCAACCUUGGAACUGCCUUUGAUACUGUUUGUCUUGAGUUCGAGAGAGGUAAGUGGAACUGCGAGUGUAGAGGUGAAAUUCGUAGAUAUUCGCAAGAACACCAGUGGCGAAGGCGGCUUACUGGCUCGAAACUGACGCUGAGGCGCGAAAGCGUGGGGAGCAAACAGGAUUAGAUACCCUGGUAGUCCACGCCUUAAACGAUGAAUGCUAGCCGUUGGCCAG